GACGUAGGGCGCGAGCGUUGUCCGGAUUUAUUGGGCGUAAAGAGCUCGUAGGCGGCUUGUUGCGUCGACUGUGAAAACCCGCGGCUUAACUGCGGGCUUGCAGUUGAUACGGGCAGGCUAGAGUUCGGCAGGGGAGACUGGAAUUCCUGGUGUAGCGGUGAAAUGCGCAGAUAUCAGGAGGAACACCGGUGGCGAAGGCGGGUCUCUGGGCCGAUACUGACGCUGAGGAGCGAAAGCGUGGGGAGCGAACAGG
rnacentral:rRNA from 1 species